UGGUUGAUUUCAGGCACUGGU
rnacentral:siRNA from 1 species